GUCGUCCGGUCGCGAUGUAGGUGGUCGUCGAGUGUAGGUGGUCGUCAAGUGUAGGUGGUCGUCGAGUGUAGGUGGUCGUCAAGUGUAAGAGGUGUCCUCGUCCUCCGUCCCACCGCCAAUUGUUGCUGUCGUUGCGAUCGCGCUCGCCAUGUCAUAUACAUCUCCGCACCGUGUCCGUGUUUGUUAAAUCUGCUUACAGAUGGCGCUCACUUGGGAGCAACAGCAAAAUCCCACGCGAGAAGGUGUAGUGAGGUCAGGUUUUUGGUAAUCGAAUGUUUUGUAAGCUGCAACAGUGACCUCUGGCUAGAUAUUUUUAAGAAUAAGACAACAUGACAGUUUGUACGAUCUACUUUUGAUAUUAGGUGUUGCUCGCAAUGAUGCUGUGUAUGCGUGUGUUUGGUGCAAGUGACACGUCCAUGGUAUUGAUUCUGCUGCUUGUGUUCACACGUACGUAGGCGUUUGUACACGUAGUGUCACUGCGUUAGUAGAGAGCGGUGUUGUUACAGCCAGCCACUGUAUCGUAUUUGUUGCUUCGGGGUCGAGUCCCAACUUCGGCUUCCCUUUCUAGAUUUAUUUCAAAGUGCACAAGGAGGCUCUAUUGCUUGCUUAUCAUACGGAACACGCGUUCCAUUGUUAGUUUGUAGCAGCGAUGUCUUGCGUACGUUCAGAGGCUAACAGUGGCGACCCCGUAUACUUGGUGUUCACCUGCACGUCGAAUAACAGCAUGUACGACUACGGCGAGCGUUGAGGUUCCGAACACGGCUGUUCCCACGACGAUAACGGAUGCAUAUUCUCCCAUUAUAUAUUCAUACCAUUUUCAUGCAGGAUGAUUUUAUAUCAUAGCAGGUAGCUAGUUAAUCAGUGGAGUUAUCAUGAAAUUGGUUUUAAAAUUUGAUGCGUAUGAUAAUGAAAGCCUAAUUAGUGAAGUAUUUUUGCAAACGAGGACUUUUAUAGAACGAGUUUUCUAUUACCAGAGUGUAUGCGACGUGUAUAAACAGUUUCACGGUAGCCGAUGGCGGUUAAAUCAACUACCGGUGCAAUUUAAUUGUGUAAAAUUUUAAGUUUGUUAAUAGUUUUAUGCUGUAUAUGUUUCUUUUACUUAAAAGUUAGUUUCAAAUAGGUUGUAAUCAAAAUAAGUCAACUAGACGUGAAUAGAAUUUAUAAUCUGAUUGCA